UAUAAGGCCAGAGGAAUCAUUUGGUCUGGCCCUGCCAAGGCAAUAAGGGUGAGUUAAUUAACUGUUUGAGGAAAUAUAGCAGGCUAAUUUUUAGGUUGAUAAUUUUGUAUGGCCUAUGAAUGAUGUUAUAAAUAUCCGAAUGGCCAUUGGCAGAAAAAAGGUUCCCCACCCCUGG